CCAGACUCCUACGGGAGGCAGCAGUGGGGAAUAUUGCACAAUGGGGGGAACCCUGAUGCAGCGACGCCGCGUGGGUGAAGGAGCACCUCGGUGCGUAAAGCCCUAUCGGCAGGGAAGAAAAGCGAACAGGUUCGCCUGGACGGUACCUGACUAAGAAGCCCCGGCUAACUACGUGCCAGCAGCCGCGGUAAUACGUAGGGGGCAAGCGUUAUCCGGAUUUACUGGGUGUAAAGGGAGCGUAGACGGUUGUGCAAGUCAGAAGUGAAAGCCCGGGGCUCAACUCCGGGACUGCUUUUGAAACUGUGAAACUGGAGUGCAGGAGAGGUAAGCGGAAUUCCUGGUGUAGCGGUGAAAUGCGUAGAUAUCAGGAGGAACACCAGUGGCGAAGGCGGCUUACUGGACUGUAACUGACGUUGAGGCUCGAAAGCGUGGGGAGCAAACAGGAUUAGAUACCCCGGUAAUA
rnacentral:rRNA from 1 species